rnacentral:rRNA from 1 species
GCAGAACGCGAAGAACCUUACCAGCCCUUGACAUGGCAGGACGGUUUCCGGAGACGGAUUCCUUCACUUCGGUGACCUGCACACAGGUGCUGCAUGGCUGUCGUCAGCUCGUGUCGUGAGAUGUUGGGUUAAGUCCCGCAACGAGCGCAACCCUCGCCUUUAGUUGCCAUCAUUUAGUUGGGCACUCUAGAGGGACUGCCGGUGAUAAGCCGGAGGAAGGUGGGGAUGACGUCAAGUCUUCAUGGCCCUUACGGGCUGGGCUACACACGUGCUACAAUGGCGGUGACAGAGGGCAGCUAGACCGCGAGGUCAUGCUAAUCCUUAAAAGCCGUCUCAGUUCGGAUUGCACUCUGCAACUCGAGUGCAUGAAGUUGGAAUCGCUAGUAAUCGCAGAUCAGCACGCUGCGGUGAAUACGUUCCCGGGUCUUGUACACACCG